rnacentral:snRNA from 1 species
UCGCCGACAUUAUGAUUUAAACUU